AGCCUUUCCUCAUCAGAGAGAUGUUCUAGGCCCCUCAUCCUCUUUGUAGUUCUUUGCUGUACCCUCUCCAGCAGUUCCCUGUCCUUCUUGAACUGGGGAGCCCAGAACUGGACACAGUGCUCCAGAUGGGGCCUCACCAGGGCAGAGCAGAGCAGAGCAAGAGGAUGAUCUCCCUCGACCUGCUGGCCACACUCUUCUUGAUGCACCCCUGGAUGCCAUUGGCCUUCUUGACUACAAGGGCACAUUGCUGGCUUGUGGUCAUCCUGUUGUCCACCAGGACAAGCUGCAGCUUGCUCAUCCUUCCCGGGUUAACGCAGACCAUAUGGUACCCCAGUUGGCUCAGCUAUUGGUCUUUAAUAUUGUCACCUUGUUAUUUUUGGUGCAGCUGAUUGUGACCAUCAUAACAUAGAGGCAAUCACACUACUGCUGUGGAAGCUUGUGUAGCUGCUGGUGUUGCCAGUGACUCUCAAGCAGCUCCUUGUCUUCCCAGCCUGUGUAUUUACCUUCCCUUGCAAGGUCCAUGAGAGCAACCAGGAGAGGAGGCUGCUGCCACCUUACACAGAACAGGUUGCCCACCUCUAUGCUGUCCAUGGCUGUGGUCAUGGACAUCUGAGGUGGGAUCAUUUGAGAAACACCAAGGGAAAACGCUUUGCCUGAGGGAGAGGCCGUGAAGUGCUGCUGUGCUCUUGCUCCAUCCCGCAUCUUUGUCUGUCCCGGCAUGUGCGCGCCGAUGACUUGCCGCACUCCUGUGAGCCGUGCGCUGAAUGAUGAUGAACUGACAUCGUCAUGGCAACACGUGUGGAUUUCCUGGUUGCAUAGCAACCGGAUGCGGGCUGAUGUAAGAUGUGGGCUCGUUUCCUCCACUGGCUGUGCUCCUUUGAUAUGUCGGGUGUGUUUCUUUAUCUUGGAGCAGAAGGAGGUCUUCACAGUGGUGGUUGUGGCUUCAGCCUCUGGUGAUGGCCAAAUGGUCAGGAUCUACAGACCUCAGAGCACGUCUGCUAAACACGUCUCAGUCCACUGGCAAAGAGGACCCAGGGAUUAUCAUCACAGAGAAAUUUCCUCCCGUCAAGCCUGCAUUCACAGUUUAUGGAGCAAAACAAUCGGAAGAGCCUUUCUAGACGCCUGCUUGUCGGGUGCUGUGAAGGUGCCAAACUAA
rnacentral:lncRNA from 1 species